rnacentral:tRNA from 1 species
GGGGACGUGGCGGAAUUGGUAGACGCAGCGGACUUAAAAUCCGUUGACUUCGGUCGUCCGGGUUCGAUUCCCGGCGUCCCCACCA